rnacentral:lncRNA from 1 species
CAUCACUUGUUCUUCUCACUAUGGUGUUAACAGCACCUAUAGUCUGCCACAUUGUCCAAAAUUUUGAGUUAAUAAACGAAAAAUCCUCCAUCAAAUCCACCAGUAACGAAAACCGACAUGGCCACCAAGAUACCGACAUGGCCAUCAAGAUCUAACCUUUAAGCACUGGUUCAACUACUAACCUUGGCAAGUGGAUGGACUUCAUCACAGAACUCCACAACAGCUUCUUUGUAUGGAAACCCAACACUGCC